rnacentral:rRNA from 1 species
AUUCCAGCUCCAAUAGCGUAUACUAAAGUUGUUGCAGUUAAAAAGCUCGUAGUUGAAUUUCUGGGUGUGAUAGGCGGUCCGUGUGCAUAACAUGUGUACCUCCCUCUCAUGCCCAUCCUCGAAGUGAAUAUGCAUUGCCUUAACUGUGUCGUGUAUAGGACCUUCGUCAUUUACUGUGAGCAAAAUAGAGUGUUCAAAGCAGGCUUAUGCCGUUGAAUAUAUUAGCAUGGAAUAAUAAGAUAUGACUUCUGUCUAUUUUGUUGGUUUGCAUUCGGAAGUGAUGAUUAAUAGGGAUAGUUGGGGGUUUUCGUAUUCAAUUGUCAGAGGUGAAAUUCUUGGAUUUAUGGAAGACGAACUACUGCGAAAGCAUCAACCAAGGAUGUUUUCAUCA